rnacentral:rRNA from 1 species
GAUGAACGCUGGCGGCGUGCCUAAUACAUGCAAGUCGAGCGAACAGACGAGGAGCUUGCUCCUCUGACGUUAGCGGCGGACGGGUGAGUAACACGUGUAUAACCUCCCUAUAAUACUGGGAUAACUUCGGGAAUCCGGAGCUAAUCCCGGAUAAUAUAUUGAACCGCAUGGUUCAAUAGUGAAAUACGGUUUUGCUGUCACUUAUAGAUGGAUCCGCGCCGCAUUAGCUAGUUGGUAAGGUAACGGCUUACCAAGGCAACGAUGCGUAGCCGACCUGAGAGGGUGGUCGGCCACACUGGAACUGAGACACGGUCCAGACUCCUACGGGAGGCAGCAGUCGGGAAUCUUACGCAAUGGGCGAAAGCCUGACGGAGCAGCGCCGCGUGAGUGAUGAAGGUCUUCGGAUCGUAAAACUCUGUUAUUAGGGAAGAACAAAUGUGUAAGUAACUAUGCACGUCUUGACGGUACCUAAUCAGAAAGCCACGGCUAACUACGUG